AUGAACGCUAGCUACAGGCUUAACACAUGCAAGUCGAGGGGCAGCAUGACCUAGCAAUAGGUUGAUGGCGACCGGCGCACGGGUGAGUAACACGUAUCCAACCUACCGGUUAUUCCGGGAUAGCCUUUCGAAAGAAAGAUUAAUACCGGAUAGUAUAACGAGAAGGCAUCUUUUUGUUAUUAAAGAAUUUCGAUAACCGAUGGGGAUGCGUUCCAUUAGUUUGUUGGCGGGGUAACGGCCCACCAAGACAUCGAUGGAUAGGGGUUCUGAGAGGAAGGUCCCCCACAUUGGAACUGAGACACGGUCCAAACUCCUACGGGAGGCAGCAGUGAGGAAUAUUGGUCAAUGGACGAGAGUCUGAACCAGCCAAGUAGCGUGAAGGAUGACUGCCCUAUGGGUUGUAAACUUCUUUUAUAUGGGAAUAAAGUGAGCCACGUGUGGCUUUUUGUAUGUACCAUACGAAUAAGGAUCGGCUAACUCCGUGCCAGCAGCCGCGGUAAUACGGAGGAUCCGAGCGUUAUCCGGAUUUAUUGGGUUUAAAGGGAGCGUAGGCGGACUAUUAAGUCAGCUGUGAAAGUUUGCGGCUCAACCGUAAAAUUGCAGUUGAUACUGGUCGUCUUGAGUGCAGUAGAGGUAGGCGGAAUUCGUGGUGUAGCGGUGAAAUGCUUAGAUAUCACGAAGAACUCCGAUUGCGAAGGCAGCUUACUGGACUGUAACUGACGCUGAUGCUCGAAAGUGUGGGUAUCAAACAGGAUUAGAUACCCUGGUAGUCCACACAGUAAACGAUGAAUACUCGCUGUUUGCGAUAUACGGCAAGCGGCCAAGCGAAAGCAUUAAGUAUUCCACCUGGGGAGUACGCCGGCAACGGUGAAACUCAAAGGAAUUGACGGGGGCCCGCACAAGCAGUGGAGUAUGUGGUUUAAUUCGAAGCAACGCGAAGAACCUUACCAGGUCUUGACAUCCGUGUAAAGCCGCAGAGAUGCGGUGUGAGCUUGCUCAAUACGAGACAGGUGGUGCAUGGUUGUCGUCAGCUCGUGCCGUGAGGUGUCGGCUUAAGUGCCAUAACGAGCGCAACCCUUAUCUUUAGUUACUAACAGGUCAUGCUGAGGACUCUAGAGAGACUGCCGUCGUAAGAUGUGAGGAAGGUGGGGAUGACGUCAAAUCAGCACGGCCCUUACGUCCGGGGCUACACACGUGUUACAAUGGGGGGUACAGAAGGCAGCUACACAGCGAUGUGAUGCUAAUCCCAAAAGCCUCUCUCAGUUCGGAUUGGAGUCUGCAACCCGACUCCAUGAAGCUGGAUUCGCUAGUAAUCGCGCAUCAGCCACGGCGCGGUGAAUACGUUCCCGGGCCUUGUACACACCGCCCGUCAAGCCAUGAAAGCCGGGGGUACCUGAAGUCCGUAACCGUAAGGAGCGGCCUAGGGUAAAACUGGUAAUUGGGGCU
rnacentral:rRNA from 1 species